CCGUUGCCUAGGAGCUGCAGGGCCGUGCCAGUGGGAGCUGGGGAGUCUCCAACCCUAAGGGAGCCAGUGGAGAGAGCGGAGUGCUGGGGCUGAGGUGCUCUCAGCAAGCUGCACUGCUGAGCAGGAUGAGCUGCUGUGUUCUGAACCAAUAGCUGAGUUUUUAAGAUGCACCAGGUCUCCCUCUAACUGACGAAGAUUCCUGUCUGUGAGAAUGAUCUUUAAAUGCCUUCAGUUCAAGGACUCCGUAGACUGUCUCUUUCAACUAAUAUGAGUUUGCCACCAAACCGAAAAAAUGGUUAUUUGCACAGCUCUAGUGACAGACUGGAGACAGAAUUUCUGUGUUCCCAUUGACACCUCCUGGAAUGAAACAGUUAAGUUACCACUGCUCUGAAAACCCUGGGUAACAGACCAAGUGCUCACCUGUACCUUUGCAACAGCGUUUGAAGACUGCUUUGAAAGUGUUUCUACCAAUGAAGCAAAACUUCAGGGUCAAGCCUCACCUGGUCAUUCUCUAUCUAAUGAAGACACCGCUCAGGAGGCUCUAAACUAAUGGCUCAGGAAAAUAACCCCCCAAAGCUGCCCUCUUGGCCGACACACCAGGGAUGAAUCGGGGACAUCCAGAACUGGAAGCAUGAGCAGCUGUAGCUCGAGAUAAAGAACCAAGGCUCUGUUGCUGAGGGCUGUAACAACUCAUGGCCUCUGUGGAUUGGCACAGAGAACUCAAUACACUUCCUUCAUGAACAUGG